rnacentral:rRNA from 1 species
AGUGAACGCUGGCGGUAGGCCUAACACAUGCCAGUCGAACGGCAGCACAGUAAGAGCUUGCUCUUACGGGUGGCGAGUGGCGGACGGGUGAGGAAUACAUCGGAAUCUACUUUUUCGUGGGGGAUAACGUAGGGAAACUUACGCUAAUACCGCAUACGACCUACGGGUGAAAGCAGGGGAUCUUCGGACCUUGCGCGAUUGAAUGAGCCGAUGUCGGAUUAGCUAGUUGGCGGGGUAAAGGCCCACCAAGGCGACGAUCCGUAGCUGGUCUGAGAGGAUGAUCAGCCACACUGGAACUGAGACACGGUCCAGACUCCUACGGGAGGCAGCAGUGGGGAAUAUUGGACAAUGGGCGCAAGCCUGAUCCAGCCAUACCGCGUGGGUGAAGAAGGCCUUCGGGUUGUAAAACCCUUUUGUUGGGAAAGAAAAGCAGCAGGUUAAUACCCCGCUGUUCUGACGGUACCCAAAGAAUAAGCACCGGCUAACUUCGUG